rnacentral:rRNA from 1 species
CAUGCAAGUCGUACACUGGCUUUUGCUAACGGAGCUUGCUCCACCGGAAAAAGAAGAGUGGCGAACGGGUGAGUAACACGUGGGUAACCUGCCCAUCAGAAGGGGAUAACACUUGGAAACAGGUGCUAAUACCGUAUAACAAUCGAAACCGCAUGGUUUUGAUUUGAAAGGCGCUUUCGGGUGUCGCUGAUGGAUGGACCCGCGGUGCAUUAACUAGUUGGUGAGGUAACGGCUCACCAAGGCCACGAUGCAUAGCCGACCUGAGAGGGUGAUCGGCCACAUUGGGACUGAGACACGGCCCAAACUCCUACGGGAGGCAGCAGUAGGGAAUCUUCGGCAAUGGACGAAAGUCUGACCGAGCAACGCCGCGUGAGUGAAGAAGGUUUUCGGAUCGUAAAACUCUGUUGUUAGAGAAGAACAAGGAUGAGAGUAACUGUUCAUCCCUUGACGGUAUCUAACCAGAAAGCCACGGCUAACUACGUGCCAGCAGCCGCGGUAAUACGUAGGUGGCAAGCGUUGUCCGGAUUUAUUGGGCGUAAAGCGAGCGCAGGCGGUUUCUUAAGUCUGAUGUGAAAGCCCCCGGCUCAACCGGGGGAGGG